UACGUAGGGGGCAAGCGUUGUCCGGAAUCAUUGGGCGUAAAGCGCGUGUAGGCGGCCCGGUAAGUCCGCUGUGAAAGUCGGGGGCUCAACCCUCGAAUGCCGGUGGAUACUGUCGGGCUAGAGUCCGGAAGAGGAGAGUGGAAUUCCGUGGUGUAGCGGUGAAAUGCGCAGAUAUCAGGAAGAACACCCGUGGCGAAGGCGGCUCUCUGGGGACGGUACUGACGCUGAGACGCGAAAGCGUGGGGGAGCGAACAGG
rnacentral:rRNA from 1 species